CAGUCGCCACGGUAAUACAGAGGGUGCAAGCGUUAAUCGGAUUUACUGGGCGUAAAGGGCGCGUAGGUGGUUACUUAAGUGAGAUGUGAAAGCCCCGGGCUUAACCUGGGAACUGCAUCUUAUACUGGGUAACUGGAGUGCAGUAGAGGGUAGUGGAAUUUCCGGUGUAGCGGUGAAAUGCGUAGAUAUCGGAAGGAACACCAGUGGCGAAGGCGGCUACCUGGACUGAGACUGACACUGAGGCGCGAGAGCGUGGGGAGCAAACAGGAUUAGAUACCCCAGUAGUCCCUGUCUCUUAUAC
rnacentral:rRNA from 1 species